GGCCAAGUUUUUAAGGGCGCACGGUGGAUGCCUUGGCACCAGGAACCGAUGAAGGACGUGGGAGGCCACGAUAGGCCCC
rnacentral:rRNA from 1 species